rnacentral:lncRNA from 1 species
CAAACACCAAACUCAACCUGUGCAUGCACUGAACAGAGACAUAAUCAUAAACAUCGACCCCUCUGUGGGAUCCCAUCAAUGCCCCAAUGGGCAAAUACAACAUGAGUUGAGUUGGUUUACAUAAACAUCAUAAAAGAUCUAGGAUCAUGCAUUAAAAGGGAUACAUUACACAUAGGUCAAGCACAACCUCUAAUCCUCAAUAUCAUUACAUUACAUAACUAUUCAUAACUUUACAUUUUAUCAUGUCCACAUUCU